rnacentral:rRNA from 1 species
UACGGAGGGUGCAAGCGUUAUCCGGAUUUACUGGGUUUAAAGGGUGCGUAGGUGGGCGAAUAAGUCAGUGGUGAAAUCUUCGAGCUUAACUCGGAAACUGCCAUUGAUACUAUUUGUCUUGAAUUAUCUGGAGGUAAGCGGAAUAUGUCAUGUAGCGGUGAAAUGCUUAGAUAUGACAUAGAACACCCAUUGCGAAGGCAGCUUACUACGGAUUGAUUGACACUGAGGCACGAAAGCGUGGGGAUCAAACAGG